ACCCAGACUCCUACGGGAGGCAGCAGUGGGGAAUAUUGGGCAAUGGGCGCAAGCCUGACCCAGCAACGCCGCGUGAAGGAAGAAGGCUUUCGGGUUGUAAACUUCUUUUCUGAGGGACGAAGAAAGUGACGGUACCUCAGGAAUAAGCCACGGCUAACUACGUGCCAGCAGCCGCGGUAAUACGGAGGGUGCGAGCGUUAUCCGGAUUCAUUGGGUUUAAAGGGUGCGCAGGCGGGCCUUUAAGCCGGGGGGGAAACCCGGGGGGCCAACCCCCGCCGGGCCGUCGGAACUGGGGGCCUUGAGUGCGGCGGAGGCAUGCGGAAUGCGCGGUGUAGCGGUGAAAUGCAUAGAUAUCGCGCAGAACCCCGAUUGCGAAGGCAGCGUGCCGUGCCGCCACUGACGCUGAGGCACGAAAGCGCGGGGAUCGAACAGGAUUAGAUACCCUAGUA
rnacentral:rRNA from 1 species